rnacentral:rRNA from 1 species
CCCUUAGAUGUCCGGGGCCGCACGCGCGCUACACUGAAGGAAUCAGCGUGGCUUUCUCCCUGACCCGAAAGGGUUGGGAAACCCGUUGAAUCUCCUUCGUGAUAGGGAUUGGGGCUUGAAAUUGUUCCCCAUGAACGAGGAAUUCCCAGUAAGCGCGAGUCAUAAGCUCGCGUUGAUUACGUCCCUGCCCUUUGUACACACCGCCCGUCGCACCUACCGAUUGAAUGGUCCGGUGAAAUCUUCGGAUUGAGACUUUGAUUUCUUCACGGAAAACGUUGUUUUAUAAAGUUGAUUAAACCUUACCAUUUAGAGGAAGGUGAAGUCGUAACA